GGUGAGUGUGCAGGCUCUGAUGAUUACCCACUCCUCCUCCCCAGGUCAAGCUUGCAUGAGGCCCUGGGUUUCAUCCCCAGCACCACUUGUGAGCUGCCAUGUGGGUGCUGGGAAUUGAACCCGGGUCCUCUAGAAGAGCAGUCAGUGCUUUUAACCCCGGAGCAUCUCUCCAGCCCCUUAUUUGUUUUUUUUUUUUUUUUUUUUUUUGGUUUUUCGAGACAGGGUUUCUCUGUGCAGCUUUGCGCCUUUCCUGGGACUCACUUGGUAGCCCAGGCUGGCCUCGAACUCACAGAGAUCCGCCUGGCUCUGCCUUAUUUGGUUUUUGAGAUGGGGUUUCUCUGGGUAGCUUUAGUUGUCCUGGAACUCGCUUGGGCUGGCCUCGAACUCAGAGAUCUCCCUGCCUCUGCUUCUGGAGUGCUGGAAUUAAAGGUGUGCACCACCCCAUCCAGCUUAUGAAUCUUUCUUUAAAAAAAGACAGGGCUGUUACACAGAGAAACCCUGUGUCAAAAAAAAAAAACAACAAAAAUGGAAAAAGAAGAAAAGGGGGAG